rnacentral:sRNA from 1 species
GAAGAUUCUCAUACUUAGAAAAGACCUACGCUAUACAGAUAUUCUAUGACAGAGGAAUACUUCAAUUAUUGAUAUCAUAGACUGAGGAUAAUCAGGUGGAUCCGUGAGAAAUUACUCUUUUGUUUUGUUUUGUUUUUUUAAUUUUUCAGCCUUAAAGAAGGAGAGGACCAGAAAGAGAUAAAGAUUGAGCCAGCUCAGGCUGUGGAUGAAGUGGAACCUCUACCUGAAGACUAUUAUACAAGACCAGUAAAUUUAACAGAGGUAACCACCCUUCAGCAGCGUCUGUUACAGCCUGACUUCCAGCCAGUCUGUGCUUCACAGCUCUAUCCUCGCCACAAACAUCUUCUGAUCAAACGGUCCCUGCGCUGCCGUAAAUGUGAACAUAAUUUGAGCAAGCCAGAAUUUAACCCAACGUCAAUCAAAUUCAAAAUCCAGCUGGUCGCUGUCAAUUAUAUUCCAGAAGUGAGAAUCAUGUCAAUUCCCAACCUUCGCUACAUGAAGGAGAGCCAGGUCCUCCUGACUCUUACGAAUCCAGUUGAGAACCUCACCCAUGUGACUCUCUUGGAGUGUGAGGAGGGGGACCCUGAUGAUAUCAACAGCACUGCUAAG